rnacentral:rRNA from 1 species
AAAUUGAAGAGUUUGAUCAUGGCUCAGAUUGAACGCUGGCGGCAGGCCUAACACAUGCAAGUCGAACGGUAACAGGAAGCAGCUUGCUGCUUCGCUGACGAGUGGCGGACGGGUGAGUAAUGUCUGGGAAACUGCCUGAUGGAGGGGGAUAACUACUGGAAACGGUGGCUAAUACCGCAUAACGUCGCAAGACCAAAGAGGGGGACCUUCGGGCCUCUUGCCAUCAGAUGUGCCCAGAUGGGAUUAGCUUGUUGGUGAGGUAACGGCUCACCAAGGCGACGAUCCCUAGCUGGUCUGAGAGGAUGACCAGCCACACUGGAACUGAGACACGGUCCAGACUCCUACGGGAGGCAGCAGUGGGGAAUAUUGCACAAUGGGCGCAAGCCUGAUGCAGCCAUGCCGCGUGUAUGAAGAAGGCCUUCGGGUUGUAAAGUACUUUCAGCGGGGAGGAAGGUGUUGUGGUUAAUAACCGCAGCAAUUGACGUUACCCGCAGAAGAAGCACCGGCUAACUCCGUGCCAGCAGCCGCGGUAAUACGGAGGGUGCAAGCGUUAAUCGGAAUUACUGGGCGUAAAGCGCACGCAGGCGGUCUGUCAAGUCGGAUGUGAAAUCCCCGGGCUCAACCUGGGAACUGCAUUCGAAACUGGCAGGCUUGAGUCUUGUAGAGGGGGGUAGAAUUCCAGGUGUAGCGGUGAAAUGCGUAGAGAUCUGGAGGAAUACCGGUGGCGAAGGCGGCCCCCUGGACAAAGACUGACGCUCAGGUGCGAAAGCGUGGGGAGCAAACAGGAUUAGAUACCCUGGUAGUCCACGCCGUAAACGAUGUCUACUUGGAGGUUGUGCCCUUGAGGCGUGGCUUCCGGAGCUAACGCGUUAAGUAGACCGCCUGGGGAGUACGGCCGCAAGGUUAAAACUCAAAUGAAUUGACGGGGGCCCGCACAAGCGGUGGAGCAUGUGGUUUAAUUCGAUGCAACGCGAAGAACCUUACCUGGUCUUGACAUCCACAGAAGAAUCCAGAGAUGGAUUUGUGCCUUCGGGAACUGUGAGACAGGUGCUGCAUGGCUGUCGUCAGCUCGUGUUGUGAAAUGUUGGGUUAAGUCCCGCAACGAGCGCAACCCUUAUCCUUUGUUGCCAGCGAUUAGGUCGGGAACUCAAAGGAGA